ACGAACGCUGGCGGCGUGCUUAACACAUGCAAGUCGAACGGAAAGGCCCUGCUUUUGUGGGGUGCUCGAGUGGCGAACGGGUGAGUAACACGUGAGUAACCUGCCCUUGACUUUGGGAUAACUUCAGGAAACUGGGGCUAAUACCGGAUAGGAGCUCCUGCUGCAUGGUGGGGGUUGGAAAGUUUCGGCGGUUGGGGAUGGACUCGCGGCUUAUCAGCUUGUUGGUGGGGUAGUGGCUUACCAAGGCUUUGACGGGGAGCCGGCCUGAGAGGGUGACCGGCCACAUUGGGACUGAGAUACGGCCCAGACUCCUACGGGAGGCAGCAGUGGGGAAUAUUGCACAAUGGGCGGAAGCCUGAUGCAGCAACGCCGCGUGCGGGAUGACGGCCUUCGGGUUGUAAACCGCUUUCGCCUGUGACGAAGCGUGAGUGACGGUAAUGGGUAAAGAAGCACCGGCUAACUACGUG
rnacentral:rRNA from 1 species